rnacentral:rRNA from 1 species
AUUGAACGCUAGCGGGAGGCUUUACACAUGCAAGUCGAACGGCAGCGGGGACUUCGGUCUUGCGGCGAGUGGCGAACGGGUGAGUAAUGUAUCGGAACGUGCCCAGUAGCGGGGGAUAACUACGGGAAAGCGUAGCUAAUACCGCAUACGCCCUGCGGGGGAAAGCAGGGGAUCGUCAGACCUUGCACUAUCGGAUCAGCCUAGAUCGGAUUAGCUAGUUGGUGGGGUAACGGCCUACCAAGGCGACGAUCCGUAGCUGGUCUGAGAGGACGAUCAGUCACACUGGGACUGAGACACGGCCCAGACUCCUACGGGAGGCAGCAGUGGGGAAUUUUGGACAAUGGGGGCAACCCUGAUCCAGCCAUCCCGCGUGUGUGAAGAAGGUCUUCGGGUUGUAAAGCACUUUUGGCAGGAAAGAAACGUAGCGAGCUAAUACCCCGCUGAUCUGACGUUACCUGCAGAAUAAGCACCGGCUAACUACGUG